ensembl:ncRNA lncRNA:CR46061 long non-coding RNA:CR46061
CGGACUUCAAACAGCCGAUUUGAUUGUCACAUUUUUGAAAAAGGGGAAAGCGGCGGAGGUGUCACGAUGUCUUCUGUAUAUGGGAGUCGGUGAUUGGUACGAGUACGGGUUUGCUACUUAGAACCCAACCACGGAGAUCAAACACUUGGUCAAGCGAAUUGGUGGGUAUUAGAGGAUUAGAGGAGGGCCGCCUGGGCGUUGCAGUGACUAAUGAUUGGACAACGGGCAAAAUAUCAAAGAGCCAUGGCUUGCCUCAACAACUGACUCACCCCACUGGUCGGGGCACGCUAAUUUUUGCAGCAAUGCGGUGACAACGGAACGUCUGUGUGUUUAGUCUUUCAACAGAAAAAUGCGGCACAUAAACAAAAUCACAAUCAAAAGCGCUGCAGAAGCAAAAGCUGAAUCUGAAACGCCGACCAGACUCUCGGACAACCCAGCACUGAAUCCACUACUCUUUCGCAUGCCAGUUGAGUUUGAAACACAUUCUUACCACCAGACACCACAGUGAGCCCAAAAACAGAAGGACGGAAGGGGAGACACCCAUAGCCAAGCAAUUUGUGCCGUUUUUGCCGUCUCAUUUGGCACACGGCCAGUGCAUUGGGCCAAAAUGCAAUCGAGUGCACGCCCGUCUGCCAGCCUGCGAUUCCGAGCGACUCCGCCGCGUGUCCGGCCCCCUCGCAACUAUAAAUUACAUUCCAUUAAAAAAUCAUGCCGCGGCGCACAAAUCAACAUCAACUCAAUGAACAUAAAUUGUCAAGACGAGCUGCUGGAGCGAGGGGUUCGUAAAAAUACGGGUGGUGGACAAUGGCAGGGCGGCGCUAACGGAUCGAUCGACCUUCACAUUGGCCGCCAUGACGACGACGGCGACAACGCACAUGGCCCAAAAUGCACACAAGCAGGGCCAAAAAGAAAAAGGGGAUUGGCCAAAUGACAGGACUUUGUACUGAACGGCCAAGCGGUCUACAGUGGAUUAAAGAUGUGCUAGAUCGGGGAAAUUAGGGAUGAGAUUAUGUUAUGUUAUUGAAAGCCCAAAAUAGUUGUUGGCUCAAAAUUUAAAAAAGUAUAAUAUUACAUAAUCUAAGGAUAACAACAAGGAUUCUAACAACAAGACACUUCAUUGUGAAAGCAAUACGUAGGAUAUUUAAUUGUUUUCAGUGUAGGAUUUGACCUAUUUUAAAUUAUUACCCUAGUCGAAUCAUCCAUAAAUAUGUAUGUGUUCCCCGCAUUUUCCAUAAAUCUCGCAGAUAGUGCUGCUAUCUUAAUUGGUCCUGUCCACGGUGCGGCCAACGUAACGCAUUUGGGAGCUGUCCGACGUGGAUUCCGGUGCCUUCGAGGUUUCCCUUUGAUGGCCACUGGUUUUCCAGUGGAUCCAGAGUUCGUUUUGAGCUAUUUUUGCUGCGUUGGCGUUUGCGACACGCAGUUGGUUUUGUUAUUGGGCCCCCGAGUGAUGUUUGCAGCUAAUUAGAAACGCCCCAUACGCCCUCACAUUUGGCCAGCAAAGCAAUCUGCAAUUACAGCUCUUGGGAGGGAGAGGAUGUCUCCCAACAUGUGCGAAAUAAGUGCCAAACGAUUUGGCUUUCGAAACGGGCAUGUAAUUAAUGGAGCGUGGCUUGAAUUAUGCAAAGCUCAAUCAGCUGCAUUUCGCAGACCUGGAAUCCCUCUAGUCCGCUUAGAUCCUUGGUCUCCAUCUCACGGUGAGUCCAUUUCCGCCCAAACACGUUGUGUGCCAGGACUUGCCAGCAUCCCCAUCCACUUCCUCCUCGACGCCACAUGACGUGCCGUUGAUAUUUAUGUCGUCGCCAUUGUCGUCUCAGUUCUCGGAACUUCAUUCACCAUCCCCGCUAGCUCAGAAUUCAGGACGCAGGACUCGCUUCUCCUUGGAGCGUAAUCAGCAACGUGCCAGGGUAAGGUAAAAUCACUAUUGCACCGCAGGAAGUCCAUGGAUACAAUGUAUGUUCAAUGCACUGCAAAUAAUGGAAUAUUCAACCUAAUAACUAACUAAUAAAUAUUUAUACUAAAAUAAAUAUUCAUAAAUUACA